rnacentral:rRNA from 1 species
AGUAACAUGUGGAUAACCUACCUAUAAGACUGGGAUAACUUCGGGAAACCGGAGCUAAUACCGGAUAAUAUUUUGAACCGCAUGGUUCAAAAGUGAAAGACGGUCUUGCUGUCACUUAUAGAUGGAUUCGCGCUGCAUUAGCUAGUUGGUAAGGUAACGGCUUACCAAGGCAACGAUGCAUAGCCGACCUGAGAGGGUGAUCGGCCACACUGGAACUGAGACACGGUCCAG